AGAUAGCUUGCAUGUGCCUGAGCAUCCUCACUUGGGAAAGGACAGUGGCCCAGCACUACACUACAGGGCAUACCUCCAGACCCCUUUCAUCACAUGUGUUUCUGUCAGUUACCGCUCAUUCCAGAACCUUCCUUCCUAUUAUAAUAUUUCACAUGAUCGUCCCCCACAUCUCCACCAAUGAUCUGCUGGCAGCACAAGCAAGAUCAGCCCGGGGCUGUCCAGGGCCCCAACCCUCCCGGUCUCACGAAUUCCGCU
rnacentral:sRNA from 1 species